AGGACGGGCCUUUCAGGCAUCCUCUCCCAAACUUUUCAACCCGGUCGAUCUGGCCGGGUUUUUCUUUGCCCUAA
rnacentral:sRNA from 2 species